rnacentral:rRNA from 1 species
UACGUAGGGGGCAAGCGUUGUCCGGAUUUAUUGGGCGUAAAGCGCUCGCAGGUGGUUCGUUGCGUCGUGCGUGAAAGACCCCGGCUCAACUGGGGAGUGUCGUGCGAUACGGGCGAACUGGAGGCCAGUAGGGGGAUGCGGAAUUCCGGGUGUAGUGGUGGAAUGCGUAGAGAUCCGGAGGAACACCAGCGGCGAAGGCGGCAUCCUGGACUGGUCCUGACACUCAGGAGCGAAAGCGUGGGGAGCGAACAGG